rnacentral:tRNA from 1 species
GCAGUGAUGGUUUAGUGGUAGAAUUCUUGCCUUCUAUGCAGGAGACCUGAGUUCAAUUCCCAGCCAAUGUU